UAAAUGCAAGUUAGUAAGUAGGUAUUUUUUAAUACUUUUUAAAUACCGUAUCAGAUAUCCUGGCUAUUAAUUUAUAUAUAAAUACGCAAAUAGCAUUCUAACAACUCUUAUGGUAAGCCUUUAAUAGUCAAUUUUAGCAGAGAGAUAGAAAAAUAAACUGUUGUACAGUCUUUGUACUAUAAAAUGUGUCAGGAAAUAGAACUGUAAGAGUGCCAACAACUGUGUUUCAUGUCUUUACUAAUUUCUAAAAUCAUUGUAUGCCUACAAACAGAAUGAAAUCUGAACAGUCCUGCCACAUUUAUUUUGUAGAAUAGAAGGUCCAUUCAUUCAAACUGUUUGCCCAUAAUUCAUUUAAUUGUCCGUUGGUCUUGACUCACAUAAGAAGCGGAACUAUAAAGUACACUGCGCAGAUUUACAUACAAUAGUAGCCUAAAUUCUUUUGGCUAAUAUGCAGUACAGAGUUUUGUGGAAACCAAUAUGGCUUCAUUGAUUUUUUUUUCUAAAAUGUGUAAAUCCAAUGUACUAUGGUUUAAUAUGCUGUGAUCAAACAAGCCAUGACUUGUUACUAUAAAGUUUGAUAUCCACUGACAUACUAACUGAACAAAAGUGCUAAAAAUCGUAUAUUGAAUCUGUUCUACAGGGACAAAACAGAAAAAGAUCUUAGUUGAUCUCUAUAAUUAAUUGACCAAAUAAGAACUGCAAGUACAAUAGAAGCUCAGUGUCAUUCUGAUUUAGCAGUGACUGUCCACAUUUCCUCUGGAAAGAAGUAUUCCAAAGGAAGAAGUUACAUGUAAAAGUUAAGAUAGUUAUGUUAAUUUAUAUAGUGCAUAGUGAUGUCAUUUUAGUGUUAUGGAAACCUUUCUGGAAGCCUUAAGUUUGAACUUACUCAAAAGAGAUAUUUGAUAAUGUUUAUUCUCUCUUUCUCUCAAGUUCUACAGACAGUUCUAGAUGCUUUUAUGCAACAAUUGAUAUUAAAGUACAGAAACAUCAACCUGACAACAAAGACAUCUACCAAGUGGCAUACUUUCAGAGACAGAAGACUUGCCUGCUAAAACCUGGAAAAUUGUGUGCAACAUCUCCACCUGCUGGCAUCUCCAAUUUAAAAACAAUUGUACAGAGCUUUUAUCAUGAUUCCUUAAAAAAAUCUUACCUAAGAAGUACAUCGAAUAUAACUUACUUCAUGUAAGAUGUAAU
rnacentral:lncRNA from 1 species